UGGGGAAUAUUGGACAAUGGGCGCAAGCCUGAUCCAGCAACGCCGCGUGGAGGACGAAGGCCUUAGGGUCGUAAACUCCUGUCAGUAGGGACGAAAAAGUAGGGUCGAACAGGCCCUGCCAUUGACGGUACCUGCAGAGGAAGCCCCGGCUAACUCCGUGCCAGCAGCCGCGGUAAUACGGAGGGGGCAAGCGUUAUUCGGAUUUACUGGGCGUAAAGGGCGUGUAGGCGGCUUGAUAGGUCAAAAGGUGAAAGCCCUCGGCUCAACCGAGGAACUGCCUUUGAAACCAUCUGGCUCGAGGCCGGGAGGGGGUAGUGGAAUUCCUGGGUGUAGCGGUGAAAUGCGUAGAUAUCGGGAGGAACACCGGUGGCGAAGGCGGUCACCUGGGCCAGUACUGACGCUGAGGCGCGAAAGCGUGGGGAGCAAA
rnacentral:rRNA from 1 species